UACGUAGGGUGCAAGCGUUAAUCGGAAUUACUGGGCGUAAAGCGUGCGUAGGCGGCUAUGUAAGUCAGAUGUGAAAUCCCUGGGCUCAACCUAGGAACUGCAUUUGUGACUGCAUAGCUAGAGUGUGGUAGAGGGAGAUGGAAUUCCGCAUGUAGCAGUGAAAUGCGUAGAUAUGCGGAGGAACACCAAUGGCGAAGGCAAUAUCCUGGACCUGCACUGACGCUCAUGCACGAAAGCGUGGGGAGCAAACAGG
rnacentral:rRNA from 1 species